rnacentral:rRNA from 1 species
AUACGUAGGGUGCGAGCGUUGUCCGGAAUUACUGGGCGUAAAGAGCUCGUAGGUGGUUUGUCGCGUCGUCUGUGAAAUUCCGGGGCUUAACUCCGGGCGUGCAGGCGAUACGGGCAUAACUUGAGUACUGUAGGGGAGACUGGAAUUCCUGGUGUAGCGGUGAAAUGCGCAGAUAUCAGGAGGAACACCGGUGGCGAAGGCGGGUCUCUGGGCAGUAACUGACGCUGAGGAGCGAAAGCAUGGGUAGCGAACAGGAUUAGAUACCCUGGUAGGCCAGGCCGUAAACGGUGGGCGCUAGGUGUAGGGGUCUUCCACGACUUCUGUGCCGUAGCUAACGCAUUAAGCGCCCCGCCUGGGGAGUACGGCCGCAAGGCUAAAACUCAAAUGAAUUGACGGGG